rnacentral:lncRNA from 11 species
CACAGCUGCUCUAGAUUAACACAGGCUAAAGCCGCUUGAUGUAGCCUUGAACUGCCAUAAUCAAAGUUGUGGGCUGCUCCAAAUUCUUACCCAGAGUCUGGAGCAAACGGCACCUUUUGGGCCAUGUAAACCACUGGGAUGGUUCUGGGAUGGAACUGGUUGCAAUUGUUUGCAUGGCCAUCCUGUGUUGCCCAGGCUGUGACAAGAAGAACAAAGGGGAAGAGAAGCCUACUGGGCUAAGAAAUGAAUUUCAUUUCAAGACUACACAUGAUGGCAGAAAGAAAGCUUUGUGCAUAGGCCAUGUUCCAUGCAAUGGAAUGCACAAUGGGAUGCACAACUGAAGGGGCAAUACGGCCAGUUUCAACAAAGGUCCUUCUUAAUUGCCCACAAUAUUUAAAAUGCUUCCUUCAGUUAAAAGCAAAACUCUGCUUUGUUACUAUCUCCAUUAUGAAGCUGGAAAAAUCCAUUGGAUUCAAUAAGGACCAUGACGCAUUGCCUUUUCCCCAAAGAGCUUACUGACUGCGGCGCUGUCGGCCAAGCUUUCCAAAGGCUGGAGCGUUUUAUAAUGGAGACGUCAAUAUGCUGCUAUGGCUCAAUGCAAUGGAAACCUGGGAUUUGAAAUUUGAUGCAACACCCACAGUUGAAGCAGUUUCAAAUGGCAUUCAUUCUACAGUAGAUGCAUCCUCUGUCUUCAAACAUCUUGCCACACUUUCUACUUUCUCCUAGGGAUUGAAAUAAUUAUUCUUUUUUUAUUUGGCUUUGGUUAGACCUCACCUGAAACAUUGGGCCCAUUCUGGGCACCACAGUUCAAGAAGGAUUUGAGAAAGCUAGAAAGGGGCAAGCAAAAUGAUCAAAGAUUUGGAAGCUGAGCCCUAUAAGGAGCUGGGGAUAUUUAGCUUGGAGAAGAGAAGAUUGGGGGGACACAAUAGCAAUGUUUAAAUAUUUGAAAGGAUGUCACAUUGAGUAGGGGGCUUGUUUUCUGUUGCCCUGGAAAAUAAAACAUGGAGCAGUGGUUUCAAAUUCUAGAAAAAGCGAUUCCAUUGGCAGUAGGAUAUUCUGCCUUGAAGUUUUGUAGAGUCCCCUUCUUUGGAGCUUAUUAAGCAGAGGCUGGAUAGCUAUUUAUUGGGGUGCUUUGGUUAUAUUUCCCUACAUGGAAAAUGGGGUUGGACUUGAUGACUCUUGCAUGAUCUUCCACCUGUAUGAUUCUAUUAUUCUAUGAAUAGCUGUCAUUGUUAAUUACCAGUGAUUUUUUAAAUCGUGUCAGAAGUGACUUGAGAACAUACU